rfam:Vigna angularis cultivar Jingnong 6 scaffold180_8, whole genome shotgun sequence.
UGUUGAAUGAUGAUAAAAUCAGACGGAUUCCCACUGAUUUUGUAUGUGAUUUAACAACCAGCUACUACUGACAACA